UACAGAGGUCUCAAGCGUUGUUCGGAUUCAUUGGGCGUAAAGGGUGCGUAGGCGGCGCGGUAAGUCGGGUGUGAAAUCUCGGGGCUUAACUCCGAAACUGCAUUCGAUACUGCCGUGCUUGAGGACUGGAGAGGAGACUGGAAUUUACGGUGUAGCGGUGAAAUGCGUAGAUAUCGUAAGGAAGACCAGUGGCGAAGGCGGGUCUCUGGACAGUUCCUGACGCUGAGACGCGAAAAGCGUGGGGAGCGAACAGG
rnacentral:rRNA from 1 species